CCGAGUUUACAACUCCCAAACCCUGUGAACAUACCACUUGUUGCCUCGGCGGAUCAGCCCGCUCCCGGUAAAACGGACGGCCCGCCAGAGGACCCCUAAACUCUGUUUCUAUAUGUAACUUCUGAGUAAAACCAUAAAUUAAAUCA
rnacentral:misc_RNA from 1 species